CGGCGGACGGGUGAGUAAUGCUUAGGAAUCUGCCUAUUAGUGGGGGACAACAUCUCGAAAGGGAUGCUAAUAUCGCAUACGUCCUACGGGAGAAAGCAGGGGACCUUCGGGCCUUGCGCUAAUAGAUGAGCCUAAGUCGGAUUAGCUAGUUGGUGGGGUAAAGGCCUACCAAGGCGACGAUCUGUAGCGGGUCUGAGGGGAUGAUCCGCCACACUGGGACUGAGACACGGCCCAG
rnacentral:rRNA from 1 species